rnacentral:rRNA from 1 species
GGAAUAUUGGUCAAUGGGCGAGAGCCUGAACCAGCCAAGUAGCGUGAAGGAUGACUGCCCUAUGGGUUGUAAACUUCUUUUAUGGGGGGAAUAAAGUGUGCCACGCGUGGCAUUUUGUAUGUACCCCAUGAAUAAGCAUCGGCUAAUUCCGUGCCAGCAGCCGCGGUAAUACGGAAGAUGCGAGCGUUAUCCGGAUUUAUUGGGUUUAAAGGGAGCGCAGGCUGAUUGUUAAGCGUGACGUGAAAUGUAGCCGCUCAACGGCUGAACUGCGUCGCGAACUGGCAGUCUUGAGUGAGUACGACGUCAGCGGAAUUCGUGGUGUAGCGGUGAAAUGCUUAGAUAUCACGAAGAACCCCGAUUGCGAAGGCAGCUGACGAGUCCUUUACUGACGCUAAAGCUCGAAGGUGCGGGUAUCGAACA